rnacentral:rRNA from 1 species
UUUAUGGAGAGUUUGAUCCUGGCUCAGGACGAACGCUGGCGGCGUGCCUAAUACAUGCAAGUCGAGCGGAGCAUCGUGAAAGCUUGCUUUCACGAUGCUUAGCGGCGGACGGGUGAGUAACACGUAGGUAACCUGCCUGUAAGACCGGGAUAACAUUCGGAAACGAAUGCUAAUACCGGAUACGCGAGUUGGUCGCAUGGCCGACUCGGGAAAGACGGAGCGAUCUGUCGCUUACAGAUGGACCUGCGGCGCAUUAGCUAGUUGGUGAGGUAA